rnacentral:rRNA from 1 species
UACGAAGGGGGCUAGCGUUGUUCGGAUUUACUGGGCGUAAAGCGCACGUAGGCGGAUAUUUAAGUCAGAGGUGAAAUCCCAGGGCUCAACCCUGGAAUUGCCUUUGAUACUGGAUAUCUAGAGUACAGAAGAGGUAAGUGGAAUUCCGAGUGUAGAGGUGAAAUUCGUAGAUAUUCGGAGGAACACCAGGGGCGAAGGCGGCGUACUGGUCUGUUACUGACGCUGAGGUGCGAAAGCGUGGGGAGCAAACAGG